rnacentral:piRNA from 1 species
UCUCGAACGAUCAGUAGAGUAGCAGC